rnacentral:rRNA from 1 species
UACGGGGGGGGGCAAGCGUUGUUCGGAAUUACUGGGCGUAAAGGGCUCGUAGGCGGCCAACUAAGUCAGACGUGAAAUCCCUCGGCUUAACCGGGGAACUGCGUCUGAUACUGGUUGGCUUGAGUUUGGGAGAGGGAUGCGGAAUUCCAGGUGUAGCGGUGAAAUGCGUAGAUAUCUGGAGGAACACCGGUGGCGAAGGCGGCAUCCUGGACCAAUACUGACGCUGAGGAGCGAAAGCCAGGGGAGCAAACGGG